CAGAAAAUGGGUUGGUCCCUUUAAGACCAGAACUUUCUGGGCACAGACUGCUGGCAGGGUAUGGGGGUAAAAACUGAGCCUGGCCAGCUAGUCAGGUGACCGGAAGGGGGCAGGCCAGAACUAUAAAAACCCUGGGCUUGGUGGCACUUGGGGUCAGCAGGCAAGGGGGAAGGAGUUUGUGCAUAAGAGUUCUACAGAAAGGCUUGGCUACCAGUCCAGCUGCUGUGGGACAGGAACUCCUGAGGACUCUCAGAGAAGUGGCGGCAGCCCCAGAAGAAGGACUGUAACAGAGGGUGGGAAGCAGAAGCACAGAGCUCUGAAAAAAUCUCCGACUUGCCCCUAGAGGGCUGGCAAGCAGGGAUGUGACUAGGAGCCAGGACACCUGGACUCUGUCCCUGCUCUUGAGUGAGUAGAGUACUGAAAGUGGUGUAUCCUGGGAAGCUGGAGGACUGCAAAUUUCUCGUUUUAUUGCUAUGAAGCAGACUGAAGUUACGUUAACACAAGGCUGGAGACCACUGGCUUAGAGAGAGCAAAAGGAACAGAACUGCAAAGAGAAAAGCCACAAUACUGCUGAAGGACAGGGAGUGUAACUGACAGCGCAAGGCUUUCUGCCUCUCUUCAAAGCUCCAGCGAUGCCUCCCCAGAUAAACAUGCUGUGACUGGCACUCUAUAUUUAGUCAGUUAUUUCUUAUGUGUGGAAGGAGGGCAUGUCAAGAGUCAAGAUAAAAUUGCAAAGGUGAGCACACAGGCUGGGAAAAGGAAUCGUUGUCCUAGCAGGCCCUUGCCACCUGGUUAUCCCAGGAAAUGCAGCAUCACCUAUUUUAGAGUUCUCUGCUCCCCUUUCAAUGUGGGUAAUGUAAGACAUGGGCAGGGAGCCAGUGGUCACUUGUAAGGGAGCUAUGCUACCAGGACCCGGAUCCAGCAGGCUGGAAUGCUUGAUUGCUAGGGAACUCCUUAUGGGUGACAAGCUGAAACUUGACGCCCUUCAAUGAACCCACAGGGCAUUUUUAUAUGUGCUCAGGGGGUGGUGGGGGGGGCUUUAAUUAAAGUGGCUCCAAAAGCUGCUCUAAUUAAAGCACCCACAGUGUCUCAUGUAUCAGUGACCCCAUGCUUCAAAAUGGCAGCAGAAUGCUAAAACUUGUUUGACGAGCUUUAAUUAAAGCACCCCCAUCACCAUUUUGAAGCAUGGAGACACUAAUACACAAAACGUAGAGACUGGCUGGAGCAUGCUAAUUAGCACACUCCAGAAGACUCAAUUAAUCAAUUAAUUGAGUCCCAGCAUGUCUAUAGGCCUCCACAGACUCUCUAUCUGUAGAGGAAAGAAAAUCCCCAUAUAGUUCACCAGGCAGAGAUGCUCUAGUAUGUUUUCCCUCCUCCAAGUCCUUUCUGUGAAAGGAGAUAAUCAGGUACUCCAUUUUCUUUUCAUGUCUAACCCUGAUUAUUGUAGGAACAAUGGUUUUAGGGUACUUCUGUAAAGUCCUUAUAAAAGCCUACAACGUUAUGAAAAAUAUCAAAUGCCUUGCAUUUAAAAGCUCAUUUAACUUUAUCCCAACCAGGCCAUUGGUCGAAUAAAAAGAUAUCACCCACAAAAAUCCUUGCCUCUCGCAUAAUUCCUGGACCGCCAUAGCUUCAACAUCACUCCAGCACUCCCUAAAAGUGUCAAAUGACUUCUCACCCCACAGUAUUGCUCC